rnacentral:ribozyme from 1 species
UGCCCAACAACUCCUAUCCCUACCUCCUCGUGGUACGAUACGAGCAACCUUAGGGAAAAUCGGGUAACCAACCCCGGUGGGAACUUUGGUUGUAUGCUGCUGACAGGAAAGG